UGCCGAGCAGAAUCAAAUGCCA
rnacentral:siRNA from 1 species